CUACGGGAGGCAGCAGUAGGGAAUAUUGGACAAUGGGCGAAAGCCUGAUCCAGCAACACCGCGUGCACGAUGACGGCCUUCGGGUUGUAAAGUGCUUUUAGAGGAGAUGAGAAAGGACAGUAUCCUCUGAAUAAGCCUCGGCGAACUACGUGCCAGCAGCGCGGUAAAACGUAGGAGGCAAGCGUUAUCCGGAUUUAUUGGGCGUAAAGCGCGUGCAGGCGGUCUAACAAGUUGGAUGUGAAAGCUCCCGGCUCAACUGGGAGAGGUCGUUCAAUACUGUUAGACUAGAGAAUAGGAGAGGGAGGUGGAAUUCCGGGUGUAGUGGUGAAAUGCGUAGAUAUCCGGAGGAACACCAGUGGCGAAAGCGGCCUCCUGGACUAUUUCUGACGCUAAGACGCGAAAGCUAGGGUAGCAAACGGGAUUAGAUACCCCGGUAGUC
rnacentral:rRNA from 1 species